UACGUAGGGGGCAAGCGUUGUCCGGAUUUAUUGGGCGUAAAGAGCUCGUAGGCGGUUUGUCACGUCGGAUGUGAAAACUCGGGGCUCAACCCCGAGCCUGCAUUCGAUACGGGCAGACUUGAGUUCGGCAGGGGAGACUGGAAUUCCUGGUGUAGCGGUGGAAUGCGCAGAUGUCAGGAGGAACACCGAUGGCGAAGGCAGAUCUCUGGGCCGUAACUGACGCUGAGGCACGAAAGCGUGGGGAGCAAACAGG
rnacentral:rRNA from 1 species